rnacentral:rRNA from 1 species
GACGAACGCUGGCGGCGUGCCUAAUACAUGCAAGUCGAGCGAAUCAAUAGGAGCUUGCUCCUGUUGAUUAGCGGCGGACGGGUGAGUAACACGUGGGCAACCUGCCUGUAAGAUCGAGAUAACUUCGGGAAACCGGAGCUAAUACCGGAUAAUCCUUUUCCACAUAUGUGGGAAAGCUGAAAGACGGUUUCGGCUGUCACUUACAGAUUGGCCCGCGGCGCAUUAGCUAGUUGGGGAGGUAACGGCUCACCAAGGCGACGAUGCGUAGCCGACCUGAGAGGGUGAUCGGCCACACUGGGACUGAGACACGGCCCAGACUCCUACGGGAGGCAGCAGUAGGGAAUCUUCCGCAAUGGACGAAAGUCUGACGGAGCAACGCCGCGUGAGCGAUGAAGGCCUUCGGGUCGUAAAGCUCUGUUGUUAGGGAAGAACAAGUAUCGGAGUAACUGCCGGUACCUUGACGGUACCUAACCAGAAAGCCACGGCUAACUACGUGCCAGCAGCCGCCGUAA